rnacentral:rRNA from 1 species
UGGGGAAUUUUGCACAAUGGGGGAAACCCUGAUGCAGCGACGCCGCGUGAUUUAGAAGGCCUUCGGGUUGUAAAAAUCUUUUCUAUGGGAAGAAAAUGACAGUACCAUAGGAAUAAGGACCGGCUAAUUACGUGCCAGCAGCCGCGGUAAUACGUAAGGUCCGAGCGUGGUCCGGAAUCAUUGGGCGUAAAGGGUACGUAGGCGGGUAAGCAAGUUAGAAGUGAAAUCCUAUAGCUCAACUAUAGUAAGCUUUUAAAACUGCUCAUCUUGAGGUAUGGAAGGGAAAGUGGAAUUCCUAGUGUAGCGGUGAAAUGCGCAGAUAUUAGGAGGAAUACCGGUGGCGAAGGCGACUUUCUGGCCAUAACCUGACGCUGAGGUACGAAAGCGUGGGUAGCAAACAGG